rnacentral:rRNA from 1 species
AUUGAACGCUGGCGGCAUGCCUUACACAUGCAAGUCGAACGGUAGAGGGGCAACCCUCGAGAGUGGCGAACGGGUGAGUAAUGCAUCGGAACGUGCCCAGUCGUGGGGGAUAACACUUCGACAGAAGUGCUAAUACCGCAUACGACCUGAGGGUGAAAGCGGGGGACCGCAAGGCCUCGCGCGAUUGGAGCGGCCGAUGUCAGAUUAGGUAGUUGGUGGGGUAAAGGCCCACCAAGCCGACGAUCUGUAGCUGGUCUGAGAGGACGACCAGCCACACUGGGACUGAGACACGGCCCAGACUCCUACGGGAGGCAGCAGUGGGGAAUUUUGGACAAUGGGCGCAAGCCUGAUCCAGCCAUGCCGCGUGCGGGAAGAAGGCCUUCGGGUUGUAAACCGCUUUUGUCAGGGAAGAAACGCUCCGGGCUAAUACCCUGGGGUAAUGACGGUACCUGAAGAAUAAGCACCGGCUAACUACGUGCCAGCAGCCGCCGUAAAAC